AUUCCAUGAUGCGGGCAUCUUUGUAAUAGUUCUUUAAACCUUUCCCAUGCCUCAUACAAGGAAUCAUCAUCCAUCUAUUAGAAAGUAGUGAUCUCAUUCCUUAACUU
rfam:Gossypium hirsutum cultivar TM-1 chromosome 24, whole genome shotgun sequence